rnacentral:rRNA from 1 species
ACGACUCUCGGCAACGGAUAUCUCGGCUCUCGCAUCGAUGAAGAACGUAGCGAAAUGCGAUACUUGGUGUGAAUUGCAGAAUCCCGUGAACCAUCGAGUCUUUGAACGCAAGUUGCGCCCGAAGCCUUCCGGCCGAGGGCACGCCUGCCUGGGCGUCACGCAA